AUAGUGAAGAGCGUUCGGGCCUUCAUGGUUCAGGAUGCUCGUCGCGGCCAGGGUCUCUGCUCGGGUUGUGACAAUCUUUAUCCUCGUGUUUGAAGUGCUUUCGAGGUGAAAAAAAUGUUCAUAGGAAUCACUUAAAGCGAAGUUGAGCUAAGAACCUUUGAUUCGGCUAAAUCUUUAUAUUCGAUUCUACAAGGGUCCACUUUAAACAUGUAUAACUUUCGAUACAUGUAGAAUUUCACAACUCAAGAAACACCAAAUUGUAGUAAUUGAGUUAUCUUUCCAGCGAUACCAAUCUUGCCUUAAUUUGUUACCUGAGUAAAAAGUUAUGGCAUUCUUUGUGAGAGACAGUAAGCCAACGUGAUUGGGAUGCGACGCCCGGUCUCUUGACAUGAUGCGUUGCUAUCCCAGCAUGAUAUCUGGCGCGAUAUGGAGCUUUUUCACAUGCCUUAAACUUCUUAAGGGUCUAGGGGUACUUUGAUCAUAUUUCCUCACCCAAAUCCGUCCAUAACACAAAAUUUUAGCUCCCAAGGAGCAUUAGUUGCCUCUUUAUUCAAUUUUCUCUAAAAAAAAAUCCUAACCACCUCCCCACAAUCAGAUUCAACUCUUCUUCCCCAAAGAUCAAGAAUUCAAACUUCAAAUCAAGAUUCUCAAGAAAAAUUUCAAGAUUAGGGCUCCAUUCUUUAAACUAAGGAACUUUAAGGUUCUGAGGCCCAGUCUAGAGAUCCUGCUAAAAAGUAUAUUGUUGUCGGACAUUCAGAGUUGGUGAGCCCCCCUUACUUCAAAAAGGGUCUUGUUCACUUGUGUUGAUCUCAUUUGGUUUUGGUUUGUGGUCCGACCGGGGGCAUUGUCCCGGUCUUCAAAUAGAUGUUUCUUUGCUUCAGUUAGUAGAGAUUUUACAAACAAGUGUUAGAUAGAUUUGAGUCUUGUUGAACUUAUGCCAUAUUGUUUUAUUGAUAUGAUCAGAUGACCAUGUGUCCGUUUUUUUUCCA